GACGAACGCUGGCGGCGUGCUUAACACAUGCAAGUCGAACGGAAAGGCCCUGCUUUUGUGGGGUGCUCGAGUGGCGAACGGGUGAGUAACACGUGAGUAACCUGCCCUUGACUUUGGGAUAACUUCAGGAAACUGGGGCUAAUACCGGAUAGGAGCUCCUGCUGCAUGGUGGGGGUUGGAAAGUUUCGGCGGUUGGGGAUGGACUCGCGGCUUAUCAGCUUGUUGGUGGGGUAGUGGCUUACCAAGGCUUUGACGGGUAGCCGGCCUGAGAGGGUGACCGGCCACAUUGGGACUGAGAGACGGCCCAGACUCCUACGGGAGGCAGCAGUGGGGAAUAUUGCACAAUGGGCGGAAGCCUGAUGCAGCAACGCCGCGUGCGGGAUGACGGCCUUCGGGUUGUAAACCGCUUUCGCCUGUGACGAAGUGUGAGUGACGGUAAUGGGUAAAGAAGCACCGGCUAACUACGUG
rnacentral:rRNA from 1 species